AGAAUCAACGCUGGCGGCGUGCCUAACACAUGCAAGUCGAACGAGAAAGUGGAGCAAUCCAUGAGUAAAGUGGCGCACGGGUGAGUAACACGUGACUAACCUACCCUUGAGUGGGGGAUAACCGUAGAGAAAUCUGGGCUAAUACCGCACUAAUACCUUCGGGUCAAAGGAGCAAUUCGCUUAAGGAGGGGGUCGCGGCCGAUUAGUUAGUUGGCGGGGUAAUGGCCCACCAAGACUAUGAUCGGUA
rnacentral:rRNA from 1 species